CUUUGUGCCUGUUUCACUGUAUGACCUACGACUUCCGAUUUUGAGCGAGAUUUUCCCCUCGAAAAUCGUGCAGUGUACACUCUGCUUAUAACUCUUAAUGUUGAUAUAAAUAAUAUAUCUCUGUCAGGAUUGAAGCAAGCCACCCAGAGCUGCGCCCCAGAGAACCUCAGCCUGCCCCCUCGUACCCCGACAUGGAAGACGACGACAUGGACCCAAACUACGCCCGGAUCCCGACCUUCAGGGACCGCAGCGUCCCCUCACCCACUCAGCCGCUGUCCCAGGCUCCUCACUACAACUCUGCGUCGCACCCCAGCGCCCGCACUCCCUCUCCCACGGGCCGCCUGCCUUCUCGGGACCCGGGAGUAACGGCAUGGACUCCCCGCCUGUCCUGGACGACGACCACAUCGACCGACUCUACGCCAAAGUGAACAAGAGAGGGGGCGGGGCGGCGUCGCCAGUGGCUCCUGUUGCGACCAAUGACAGCGGCGUGGACAGGAUCCAGCAGCUCAGGAGGGAGUACCAGCAGGCGCGGAGAGAGGGGGUUGUGCCGCCGUAUGAAGAACCAGACCAAAGGCGGAGAGGCCAUGACAACGACGCGCACAGGGAUGAACGACCAAAUCGACCCAGGCCUGCACCAUACUUUAGCAUCAACUUAUGGAGGGGAAAAAAAAACUACUACAGCCGCGCUGAACGGUGGAGGUGUGUGGUGCACGCAUGGAGAGACAGGACGACGUUAAGG
rnacentral:lncRNA from 1 species